ensembl:lncRNA LINC02882 long intergenic non-protein coding RNA 2882
CCCACUCGGCAGAGACCCCAGAAGGAGCCGGGGGCAGCAUCAGAGCCUGGGGCCUGGGCAGGGGUGCCCGAGAGCACAGCAGCUGCAGGCCAUUGGGAAGGCCAGAAGACAGGGAAUGGAAAGCCAGGGACGCAUGGAGUGACUCAGAGAAGGGACUAUUCAGCUGGGAGUCCUGCAUUUGCCCUUUGUGUUUCAUCCGGGGAUUUUGAAACCAGGUUUUUAUCUGGACCUCCCAGAGCUGCAUCUCCCUGGCCAGCCUCUUCCGCUCUUGAGAGCCCAAGUACUGGUGGUACCGGAAGACGGUCUCCAAGGCGCGGAACUACUCAGUGGUGAAGGCUGUGCGGACACUGGGGGCCCGCCAGGGGUUUGGCCCCUUACUCAACCCAACCACGGUCCUCUCCGGCGCAGGCCGAUUUGAGGACCUAGACUCCUUGAUGCUGACGGCCUGAGGGGGCUCCCGGGUGCCGGAUAUCUGACACAGGCCAGGGAGGCUCCCCUGGGAGACCUGGCAGGCCUGGAGGUGUGAGUCGGCUCUGAGCAGCUGCUCUGGGAGAGCCAGUCCACGGAGCCAAAGCUGGAGGGCAGCUGCCGGCCACAAGUUGGGGAGGAGGAGAGACGCAAGGCCGUCAGGUGGGCCGGAGGGAAGGCUGGGCGGGGCUGGCCAGGCGCAGGAUCUACCUGGGUGAUUUUUUUAAUCUAUAAAAUAAUAUUUGCUUUUAAUUUUUAAUGUUACUAUGUUGUCAAUAUAUUGUAAAGCUUAAACUCUUUUUCCUUAAGACCACGUAAUUUGAGUUUUUUUUAAUUUUUGCCAAUUAAAAGUGAGAUUACUUUGAUUUAA